UACAGAGGUCUCAAGCGUUGUUCGGAUUCAUUGGGCGUAAAGGGUGCGUAGGCGGUGAUGUAAGUUGGAUGUGAAAUCCCGGAGCUUAACUCCGGAACUGCAUUCAAUACUGCGUUGCUAGAGUACUGGAGAGGAGAUCGGAAUUCACGGUGUAGCAGUGAAAUGCGUAGAUAUCGUGAGGAAGACCAGUGGCGAAGGCGAAUCUCUGGACAGUUACUGACGCUGAGGCACGAAGGCCAGGGGAGCAAACGGG
rnacentral:rRNA from 1 species